rnacentral:lncRNA from 1 species
UUUCCUUUCUGGGUGAGGGGAGGCCGGAAGCUUGGGAAAGGUGUGUGCCCCCCCCCCCCGCACCGCGCCGCCCGGGUGCUGGGUGGGCCAGGCGACGGGAAUCCUGGAGCGUGCCGGGGCCGCGCGCCUUCGCCUGUUUCCCGUGCAGACCGCCCAGCGAUCGGCGGCGCAGAGCCCGGCAGGGGCGGCCCUCCCGUCGUGCGGUUUAGAAAUCGCACACGUUCCCGGUCUGUGAGUCCCCGGCGCCGGGGUGGUGCCAGUGCUGCCGUGGGCUUUCGCCGGGGGCUCGGGCCGGCGCUCGGUGACAAAGAGUCGGCUUGGGGGAGGGGAGGCGACGCCGCAGUGCUCGCUCCCCACGUCCCCCCACCCCGCACGUGAAGAGGAACAAUUUGUUUAUCUUGGGCUUCAAGAAUCCUUCCCUCCUCCCAGUUCUCCGGGGGCGCUCAACCCCUCCUCCCUCCCCUCCCAGGUCGGCGCGAUCCUGCCCAGUCCCGCCGGCAGCACCUUCCCUCCUCCUCUUCCUCCUCCCCCUCCCCUUCCUCCUCCCUUCCUCCUCCUCCAGCCACUCUUGCCCGCCUUCUUCCUCCCUUUUGGAACGUGGCCGUGGGGGAGGGAGCGGGAGGCGCUUUGUCCGCCUCGCGGCCCAGCUCAGACCCCGGGGCCGCUGGGCUGGGAGGGGUGCUGCGCCCCGUGGCCCUGCCCGCUUCAUCGCGGCUGUCCCCGCCCCGCCGCGCCCCCCAUGCCCCCGCGUCCCUCCUCUCCGCUCCCCCUGCGGCUGAGCCUGCCCCGAGCGCGAAGAAGGGGCCGUCUCGGUUGGUUUUGAGGAAGAACGACAGUUCGAGUCGGGGGAGGUUCUCGCUUUACAAACAGGAAACCGAAAACCACUGACACACUGUAGUUUUUCUGAUUGUAGCCGGAGGCGGGGCCGGUCCCGCAUCUCGACUGUAGCUCCGGUCCCUUUCUCCAACCUAUUUCUCUCCCAGCCCCCGCCCCCCUAGCGCCCUUCCACGGAGGAGGAGAUUCACUUUGUGAACCUGAGACUGAGAAUUUAAGAGGCACUGAAGGUUUCAUGCCUGCCCACCCCGCGUCCUCUUUUCGUGUAUUUGUACACCCCACGCGCAUGGAUUGCGGAGAAAUGGGCUCCUUUCGGGAGGCUCCAAAAUUCCCGUGCCACAGAAUCUCUCACAACCUUUGGGGAUCAAGGACUGCUGUGGCGUUUACCUCGCCAGCUGGGGGACCCUGGAACAAAAGCCAGUGCCGUUCCCAGUGCCGGGUCUCUGGACACGGCAAGAUGAGUAGAGUUUGCGACCAGAAACUUUCGGUGUUUGGGUUGUGUUCUCUGGUUUCCGCCCUGGUGGAGGGAGGGCUCGGGUGCGCGCGCCUGGUUUGUGAUACACUCGCAGGUGGAAGCAAGCCCAGCCUCCUGACCUUACUGGGAAGAAGACAGCAAGCCCAAGCCACAGCUUACUUUUGAAAAUAGAAAGAUAAUGCUUGCUUCAAUAGACAGAGACAUCAGCUGUAGAUUUCAUAGUGAAUCCCAGUUUAGCAAAUUAGCAACAAAUAGACUUGAAAGAUGACUGCGUGAA